ACUCAGCUCUUGUGAGGCCCCAUCUGAAGUACUGCGUCCAGGCCUGGGGCCCCCCAAUAUCUUGUUCACAAAACAGAGUGAGUGGUCCAUGUGAUCAUUCUGCAGAUAUCAUCUUUAUUAACAAAUUUGUACUGUAAACAGUAAGUAUAAGUUAAAUUUUAAAAUAAGAUUUACAAUCCUUUUCAAAAAUUUAUGAAACUGAAAUAAAUAUGAACCUUGUUUAUACAUGGAAGAUGUGAAAUUAAACCCAAUAACUUCUAAGAGAUUUUUCUCUUUUGACAUUAACUGCCUUUUCUUUAAGUGCAAAUGAUUUAUGACAGAACUGAAGAAAUCUUCCAUUACCCUGUCUCAUUAAUUAGCUCAAGAGAAAGCCACUGUAGUCUGAGUAAUGAUGAUAGUGAAUAAAAUCUUAGGACUCGUGACAGAAAAAAUUGUGCCUAGAUAAAUAGCAAGUAAAUAAUCUAUUACUAGUAUCUACUAUAUUGGAAUGCAGUGAUUUCUGUUCUGAAUUCCCUACUGUCCACUUCAACAUCUACUUAACAACAAGGCUCAGGAUUAUGUUCACAACCACCUUCUGCUGAUGUAAGUUUGUGGCACAGUAGAGGGUUAGUUUGCUGCUCAUCUGCAUCACUGGACUGUCAUUCCCAAUCACUUGUAUCAGCAAUAGCAUAUAUGUAGCAGGAGAGUCAGGUGUGAAGUUGAAGCUUGGCACAGCUAUUUGACUAGUUACACUAUUUUGUGGUGAUCCUUCUCUUUUUUGAAAAUAGACCAUUUAACAAGUCUGUUUGGCCAAACAAUUUUUCUGUAGCUGGUACAUGGAAGCAUUUAUCUACCUAAAGUUUGCACAAGUUAAUAUUAACAUAAACACAUAUUCAAGGGUUACUCCAAAAGUAAUGUCGCCUGUUGUAUUAUUUUGCCCAAUUGCCAGGUUCCUACUGCUUUACAUUUUCUUACUGAAAGUGCAUUUUUUUAAGUGUAUACAUUCCCCUCAGGAUUUUUUUAUUUUUUUAUUUUUUUUUAAAUAAAUGGUCAACUUUAAUACCUGGAUGAUGCAGUAUCAAAUUUCCAAACAUCAGCACGGGAACCUAGAUUUUAUCUGCUCUCAAAAGCAGGAUAGUAUCAUAUUAAAAUGACAACGCUUUCGGGCUCAUCAACACUGAUUUAAGAAAACUAGUAAUACUGCUGCAACUUGCUUUGAUACAUAAUAUGCAUAAAGAUAAAAUGUUUGUCUGAAAAUUCACUGAAAAGUAAGAAAUGUUUCAAGUCCAACUGCUUAUCUUACUGUGAAUCAUAUAUUGCUGUGAUAUAAAUACAUGCUUGUACAUUUAGCCAAAAAGCAAAAAACAGAAACUAUGGAAUGUAAAUUUCCAAAAUUGCUAUUAUGUCUUUAAUGCCAAGCAAUCAUUUCUCUAAAAAACAAAACAAAACAAAACAAAAAAACCAUGAAUAUUUCUAAGACUCAUUUUAUUAACAUUUAUCAUUUAUUUUCUUAUAAAACAGCAUGAGUUUCUGCAAAAUAAAACACACAGAAUUACAGAAUUUAAAGGACAAUUAGUCCUGCAAAGAGCCCUGAGCAUGAAAACAUGCAGACACAGUUAGUCACAAAGUAUGAAAUCCUAUGACUUUCUUUUGAAGAUGCAUAAAUAAUAUGAAGGGAUUAAAACUUGAAGGAAGAGUAUUUUUCAUAACAUUUGCCAUCCUGAAAAAGAAAUCCAUAUGAUUUAUCCCAAAUUACUAGUUAUUUAAGAAAGAAGAUUUAAAAACUUAGGGAUAAAAAAUAUAGGAAAAGCUAACGUACGUUUAUUUCGUUGGGAAAUAAUAUGAAACAGAAUUUCAGCAAUUGUUUGGAAAAUAUCCAAGCUUUCAGCUGGCCUCUUCUGUUAUCCCAUGUCCAAUCAUGCAUGACUAUUUGAGUAUCCUAAGAGACAUACAGGAGGGAGUAUUUUAGGAUAGCUCAUGGAUGUCCAACCUUUUGGCAUACGUGGGCCUCACUGAGUAAAGAGUUCUUUCUGUACUUCCUCCUUGACAAUUUUUCACAAGUGUAGUUCUGCCAAAAAACAAUGACAUGAAUAGGUUGUGGAGGUGAAGUGAAGGAUCUGUUUCUCUGGUAAGAGAGGUAUUAUGAAAGUCUGGUAAAGAAACAUGAUCAGAUUUUUGAGUUGAAUACCUGAUUGCAACACCAUUUCAUUUGAAAAUUUGCAGGUCAUGUGUUUAUAUCAACUGAAAAUGAUGUCACAAAUAUAAAUUGAUGAUUUUUUUAGUAAUCAUGAAACCUAUUCUCCUACUCCUUUAUUAAACCAGAAAGCAGGGCUUCAUAUCCUUCACAGUUCAGAGCUCUGUGUUCAGCCAAUGUAUCAAAAUGCCUAUAAAUUAUUUGACAUCUCUGGAGUCAUCACUGCACAGUACUGCCCUCCCCAUGCCCAGGUUUCAGUUCACACAGCUUUAAUAGUACACUGAUGUUUUGGGUGUUACUGAGUGAUGAAUGCGCACCUGUGGCCAUGCUGUGGGGAAGAGCUGCUGGGGACAGUGGGAGGGAUGCACUGCAAUAUUCAGUAAAUAUGCUCGGAAUCUAUGUAAACUAUACAAUAAAUCUUGAGAGAAGAAACGAUACUUACUAGCAUGCUAUUCUGAAAAGAAAGGAGGUUUGAAUUUCCUGUAGGUUCACCUUAGCUCAAGGGAACAGCAAUAGCUUCAUGGACAUUUUAUAUAUAUGUAGGAUGUAGACUGAAAUUUUAAAAAUCCUUACAUUUUUCAUUUCUUACUGGGGAAAACUUGUCACUUCUCUGUACAGUGAAGGAUAUUUUUUGUCUAUCUGUAAGAAGUUAAGCUCUUUAACUAGACACUCCCCCUCAACCAGUGAAAAUCUACAAAGAAAAAUAUAGUCUAGAAAAUGUACUAAAACCUUCUGUUCU
ensembl:lncRNA